rnacentral:rRNA from 1 species
GCAUAACGCGAAGAACCUUACCGAGGCUUGACAUCCCAGGAAGUCAGUCGAAAGACAGAUGUGCCUUCGGGAACCUGGUGACAGGUGCUGCAUGGCUGUCGUCAGCUCGUGUCGUGAGAUGUUGGGUUAAGUCCCGCAACGAGCGCAACCCUUGCCAUCAGUUGCUACGAAAGGGCACUCUGAUGGGACUGCCGGUGACAAACCGGAGGAAGGUGGGGAUGACGUCAAGUCCUCAUGGCCCUUAUAGGUGGGGCUACACACGUCAUACAAUGGCCGGUACAAAGGGCAGCGAAGCCGCGAGGUGAAGCCAAUCCCAUAAAGCCGGUCGUAGUCCGGAUUGCACUCUGCAACUCGAGUGCAUGAAGUCGGAAUCGCUAGUAAUCGUGGAUCAGCAUGUCACGGUGAAUACGUUCCCGGGUCUUGUACACACCG